AAAUGACAGUCAGAACUUCAGCUAAGCUUUUGCUGUGGCGUGGCACCUGGUCUCUUUCUAGAAGGAAAGUUCAACAUACAGCACAGUUCUGGACACAUUGUAUUGGUUUGAUGCUCCUACCUGGAACAGGUAACAGAGGAAGUUCCUAAGUUGUCUGGAGAUUGCAUGUCCUCACACACUAAAAUCCUCUGAGCUGAAUGAUUCAGCUUUCACUAUUGCUGUGUCUGUGGACAAAAAAGCAAAAUGUGAGUCAAUUCCAGGUUCCGUCACAUUUGGGAGUUGCCAAGUAAAGGAAAACAUAAAAGAUUAAUGUUAUUAUUCUGAUUUUAUUUUGUUUUGAGGAGAAGCGUGGGAAAUGACUACCAUACAAAUCAAGAAAUUCAUGAAGGCAAACAGUUGAUGACUGUCACCUAGCAAUCUGUUGUUUUCUUUUAUCCUUUCCCCAAGACAUAUGCCCUCUGACAUAAGCAUUAAAAUCAAAUUAUACAAUUGUCAGAAAACCUGUUCUCAAAGCUUUAGGGUAAAAAUUGUUUAAUCAAAUUGUAACACAAAUUGAGAAAUAUCAUUAAAGUGAUAAUGCC
rnacentral:sRNA from 1 species